CCUUUUUAUAUUUUGUGAAACUAAAAUUUAAAAUUGUUUAAUACAAUUCUGCUCCUUCUAUUCAUUUCAGAGUUAUCGUGGAAGGAAUUGCUAAAGGACCAAAGACAACUGCCAACAAUUUUCCUGCAUCAACGUCACAGAGGCAGAUUGCUUGAGACUGCAUUUAUUCAUUUCCCAUUUCUUUUUUUUACCGUACUUCACCUUGGAUUAAUUACUUGACAGUGUCAGUCCAUUUCUCUGUGGGAUCCCCCAAAUAGGAAUUCAGUCACUGCCUCUGGCCAAGUGGGGAGCCUUCAUCUGCUUGAGAUGACAAAGAUCUGUGGUCUCUUCACCCAGCUACCUGUUCAUCAUGGUCUGCACCAAAGAAGAUGAAUAGAUGGGCUUAGCUACAGAAAAGCAGCCUCCAUGGACAGGAGGUGAAUGCAUCCUUCUUCUGCAUAUGGUGCUGAGAAUCCAGAGUGCUUGCAAACUUAAUGGGAUAGGUGUAUCCUUCUUCUGCGCUUCACAAUUAAGGAUCUGGAACAUCCCAGCUACCUCCAGGGUUGGCAGCAAGGAAGAUUUAUUAAAAGUAAAUAGGAUCCCUGACAGCUGCUAGACUUACAUUCAGAGCUGGAACCAAGGAUAUGAGAAUAUAUGCUGCCCUGGCAAACCUCUACAGCAGAAUCUGACCUCACUCAAAGGCAAAGCUGCAUGGAAUACUGGAUCCUGCCAUGAACAAGGACAUUCCUGAAGACCCCAGGAUGGCAAAUGUCCUACAUCCUGUCCUCCAGAAUUUAUUGCCAGAUUCUUUCUCCAACCACAGAAGACUAGGAGGACCCUCUACAUCAAUGAUGCUUCAUAUCCAAAGCAUGAGACUUUGAGGUUCUCAGGGAGGAUGUUUGUCUCUUAAUAAUCUUUGACUAUAACAAUGCCUGGAGUAGGAGCCAGACAAACCCAGUUUAAUUUACAGUUUUACCUCUUUCUAGCUUGGUGGUAUUAAGUCAGUCUCUGAGAUCCUCUGUGUCCUUAUUUGCAAGAAAAUAGAAACACAUGCUUCAAAGGGUUGUUGAAGAAUUCCAAUAAAAAUACUGUAUGUAAAGCUUUUAGCUCAUUGAGGGCUUCUUCAGUGAAUGGUAGUUAUGAUUAUCAUCAUCUUUGAAUCCUUUGCACUUAGACAUUGGGUAAAUGUAAGUUCAGUGAAUGGGUUCAUUCUUUGAUUCAACUGAUUUUGUGCCUGUUACAUCCCAGAUACUGUUCUGCAGUGCACAGACACAUCUCCUAUGGGAUGAUCUCAUGGAGUGUACAGUUUGGUGGGGUUACAGGAACAGAGAAGUAAAUGAAUGGAUAAACUGUCGAAAUUUAAUUUUGGAUGGUAAUAAGUUUUAUGAAAAAUAUCAAGCAAGAUAGAAUAGAAAGUGACUCUGUGUGUGUGUGUGUGCGUGCGCGCAUGCGUGUGCAAGAGAGAGAGAAAGGAUAGAAAGUGAAGGUCUAUGGAGGAGACAAAUGAAUAAAUAUAAACAGGGUUUUCUUUAGGUACUUAUAACGCACCCUGCCAUACUUGUUUUAAUCCCUCUGACCAUGUGUUCAUUCAACAACCUCUCUCUUUACUUGAUAAACUCUUGUGCUAUAGUUUCUCGUUACAUAACUUCCAUUAGGUGAGCGCCUUUAUUCUUUCAUCCUAGACUUUGGGUCCUUUUUCCUAAAAUGUCCCCCACCUCCAUCCCAGGACUUCAUUUCAAAAAUGAACAUUACAACCUGGAGAUUUUUCUACAACAAUUUUAUUUAAGGGAGGCAGGAAGAUGCUUCCCUCUUUAUAUCUGACUUCUGUACUUCCAGGCUUGCCUUCCAGAAGUGGCCAUGGAUUCGAGAUGUCUCAAAGUUUGAAGGAGUCUCUGCUUUCUAUCUGGUCCUGCAAAGUGUUCCACAAAUGGACUGCCAUAUUGAAUUAUUUUCAGCAGUAGAAAUUCUUCAAUGGCCCAUUUCCGACCAGGCUCUAAUUUGAAAGUAAUAACAUUUGGGCAAAGCUUAGAUGCACUAAGUUGCUGCCGAGGGCUUGGUGGGCUUCGAGGUAAUUGGUUUUACUCAGUUGCUGAUGCUUCACUUGGACAAAUGAGAAAUCAAACUACAGCUCAGUUUGCAGAAAAGCCUGUGUCAGCAGUUUAGUCUGACUACUAUUUCAGAGUUUGUUAUGUUAUUGGCAAUAAAAUGCAACUAAUAUACUGUUAAUUAAUAUUGCAUCCUACAGCUAAUUUGUCACAUUAUUAAUCAGAGUGAUAAAGCCAAGGAAAAUGCAGUUCACCUUUAGUGUCCCUUCAUUUCUUUUAAACACUCGUAUUUCUGCACAAAUAGGUGUUUUGGUCAACACUGCCAAGUGUAUGGGUGGUCCUGGAUGAGUGUAUUCCAUUUUCAAAUAGUAACUUGCCCCUCAGGAAUAUUUUAUUUAGCAAGACAGGACUUAAAGUGAAAGGGUAACCAUUUCUGAACGUAACCUUGGCUUUGUGCUUCUAGUAAUUAUCCUUUAAUUGCAUUACCCUAUUUGAAAUAGAGUUGUAAUUGGAAAAAAAACAAUUUGACAUUCCCUGAUGCUUACUCUGACAUGCACUAUUUGCUUUUUAUUCAAAUGUAAAUUUUUGCCAUAAUACUAUCAAAGAAAGAAAAAAAAUUAAGCAAAAUUGAAAUGUCAGUUGCAAUUUCUGACAUGCAGGCAGUGUCAUUCGCUGGUGUUGUCUGGAAGGCAAGACUUUCACUUCAGAUGGAAAAAAAUACCAAACUAUGAAAUUAGCAUGCUCUGAGGAGAGGGAGAGAUGGAUGGCAGAAUCACAGAUCUACUCCUUUGGGAUAUGUGUCCACUUUGCACAAUGGCUUCGAAAUAUCAAACAAGCAUCCAGCUAUG
ensembl:lncRNA